GUAGUAAGAGAAAAAUGUUUAUAACGGAUCUCUAUGCAAAUAAGAAAAAGGACGUACGAAUGAACGAAAGGUUAUAGGGAAAAUAUAAAAAAGAGUUAGCAAUAGCAAUUGAAGAUCUAUAAAUAUCCGAAGGGAGACCAAGAAAAAGAAGAAACGCAGUGAAGUGAAACAUCUUAGUAACUGUAGGAAAAAAAAUCAAAAGAGAUGCGGUAAGUAGUGGUGAGCGAAAGCCGAGGAGAGUAAAAGUAGACCAUUAGAAGAAAACUGAAGAAACUAGGUGGAAAUCCAAGGCAGAAUAAGGUGAAAGUCCAGUAAGGUAAGGGACUAAUGGUAAAGAAGUAAAACGAAGAAAGGAGGAAUUUGUUUGAAAAAUGGGGGCCCACCCCCAAACUCAAUAUAUGCUUAUUUGACUGAUAGUGAACAAGUACUGUGAAGGAAAGAUGAAAAGGAAUAUAGAAGUUAUCUAUUCAGUGAAAAGACCGUGAAAUUGUAAACAUGAUGAGCAGUUGGAGUUAAGUGACAACGUACCUUUUGUAUAAUGGGUCAGCGAGUUAAUAAAUCGUAGCAAGCUUAAGGUAGUAACUAUAGGCGCAGCGAAAGCGUAUCUUAAUAGGGUGUUUCAAGAGUUACAUUUAUUAGACCCGAAACCAAGCGAUCUAAUUAUGAACACGCAUUUUAUUAUUUUUAUUUUAAUUUGGCGGAACCCGUAACUGUUGCAAAAGUUUGGGAUGAUUUGUGAUUAGGGGUGAAAGGCUAAUCAAGCUUGGUGAUAGCUGUUUUUUACGAAAUCUAUCUAGGUAGAACGGUGGUAUAUUGUUUAUUAUUAUUUGAAAAAGUCUUAAUAAACAUUAUUAAAGCAAUUUAAUAAAAGAAAAUUUAUAGAGGUAGAGCACUGAAUGGUUCAACCUAAGGUUAUUAUUUAAACUUCGAAUACUAUAAAUAAAUUGACCACUAGGCAGACUAUGAGCGCUAAGGUCCAUAGGUCUAAAGGGAAACAGCCCAGAUUGUAAGUUAAUGUUCUUAAAUAAUAGUGUAGUGUCAAAGGCAUGGAGAAAGUGAUGUUAAUUGGAAAGUAGGAUUGGAAGCGACCAUCUUUUAAAGAAAGCGUAAAAGCUCACCAAUUUAAGGCGUUCUCUAGCCAACAAUGUACAGGAACUCAACAUUAUACAGAAACUACAAAAUUAUAACAUUGGUAGUAAAAUGUUCCGUAUAAUUGUGAAGUUAACUCAAGAAGAGAUAAUGGAGUUAUCGGAAUUAAGAAUGCUGAUAUGAGUAAUGUUAAUAAGGUUAAGACCUUAUCACUGAAAAUUAGAAGUUUCCUAAUAAAAAGGUAAGCUGAUUAGGGUUACGCGAUCGCUAAGAUUAAUAUGACAAUAAACUAUCGAUGCGCAUAUAGAUUAAUAAUUCUAACGUUUUUAUUGUAGUUUUAAUUGACAUGUGUAUUUUAAAUAAUUAUAUUAUACUUACAUUAUAGAUUAUUUGAAAUAUAAGUUUUAAAAAUAGAUUAAAACAAAAUAUCUGUAAAAAGAUAUUUUAAAUAAAAAAUCGUACUUAAACCGACACUGGUUAAUUGAUAGAAUAUAUUAAAGUGUAGAAUGAAUGAUUCUGAAGGAACUCGGCAAAAUAACUCCGUAACUGCGGGAGAAGGAGAGCCUUUGUUGUAAAAAAUGAAGGUCACAGUAAAGAAGGGGUGGCGACUGUUUAAUAAAAACACAGGAUUCUGCAAAAUGGCAACAUGAUGUAUAGGGUCUGCGACCUGCCCGGUGCUCCAAGAGGAAGAGGAGAACUGCAAGGUUUGAAUUGAAGUCUGAGUAAACGGCGGCUGUAACUAUGACGGUCCUAAGGUAGCGAAAUUCCUUGUCGAGUAAUUUUCGACGCGCAUGAAUGGUGUAACGACCUCCCCACUGUCUCCAGAAUCACUUCGAUGAAAUUGAACUUUCCGUGAAGAUGCGGAAUAUUAGCAGCUAGACGGAAAGACCCUAUGCACCUUAACUUCACGCAUAUAUUGUGCAACAUUUUUAAUUACGUAGGAUACUUAUGAUGCUUAUGAUCUUUUGGUUUUGGCCAAUUUAAAGGAGGCGCUGGUGAAAUAGUAAGUAUAUUAGAAAAAUAGUACUCAAACAUGAUAAUGUAUGCCGGGUAGUUUGACUGGGGCGGUAACCUUCUAAAGAGUAACGAAGGUGUAUAAAGGUAAACUCAAAAUAAACUGGUUAGUUAUUUGGUGAGUGUAAUGGCAUAAGUUUGCUUGACUGAAAGACCUACAAGUCGAUCAGAGACGCAAGUCGAUCAUAGUGAUCCAAUAGUUCUGUGUGGAAAGGCUAUUGCUAACGGAUAAAAGGUACGCUAGGGAUAACAGGCUAGUCACAUAUUAGAGUUCAUAUCUGUUAUGUGGUUCGGCACCUCGAUAAACAAAAUAACCCGUUAAAUAAUAAGAUGUCGAGGUUAAAUUUAGGUGAAUUGACAAGAACCUCUUUUUUAAGAAUAAUUUAAAAGACAACUUGCAGCGAAGCUUACUAAUACACAUAAUAACUGUAGUAAGAACGUUCAACGACUAGAUCUUGAGGUGUGUAACCAAUAAUAGAUCCAAGAGUACCAAGCAAUUAAAAAAUUAUAAAAUAAAGUGGUAUAAAAUAUGAGAUUGAGAUAAAAAUAAAAAGGAAAUAGAUGAGCAUCAUAAAAAAAAAAUGAAAAAAAUGGGGAUUAAAAACUAGUUUUACAAUAGCAAAACGAGAUUUAUAUAAUAAUCCUACACAAUGGCUUACAACGUUUCCUGUAGAUUCACAAUUAAGAUUAAAAGAACUUGUAGAACCUUAUAUUAUAGAUUCUAUGAAAUAUAAAUUUGAUAUUCGAGUAGGAAAGCAAAUUAUUUUAAAAUAAAAAAUUGAAGACAUAGUCUGAACAGUUAUGUGAAUAACUGAAGUAUAUUAUAAACAAAUAUACGAUAACAAAAAAGGUCGGCUUAACACAUCCCGGAGUUGAAAAAGUUUCCAAGGGUUGGGGUGUUCACCCAUUAAAGUGUUACAUGAGCUGGGUUUAAAACGUCGUGAGACAGUUUGGUCCCUAUCUACUGUUAAAAACGAAAAAAUUAAAAUCCUUCCUUUAGUACGAGAGGACUGAGGUGGGUCGAUCACUGGUGUAUUAAUUAUUAUAACAAUAGUACCGUUAAGUAGCUACAUCGAAAUAUUAAUAAUAUAUAGUAUUAUUAAGAGAGAACUGCUGAAAAAAUAUUAAGUAGGAAACUUAUUUUAGAUUUUUUUAUAGUCAGGUAAAAGAUUAUUACUU
rnacentral:rRNA from 1 species